UACGGGGGGGGCAAGCGUUGUUCGGAAUUACUGGGCGUAAAGGGCUCGUAGGCGGCCAACUAAGUCCGACGUGAAAUCCCCAGGCUUAACCUGGGAACUGCGUCGGAUACUGGAUGGCUUGAAUCCGGGAGAGGGAUGCGGAAUUCCAGGUGUAGCGGUGAAAUGCGUAGAUAUCUGGAGGAAUACCGGUGGCGAAGGCGGCAUCCUGGACCGGCAUUGACGCUGAGGAGCGAAAGCUAGGGGAGCAAACGGG
rnacentral:rRNA from 1 species